rnacentral:pre_miRNA from 1 species
AAUAAGUGCAGCCGUGAAUAUCUGUACCCAACGUUUGAUCGUCCGUCUUAUUUAAAAAAUUAUGAAAAAUUUGAAAAUAUUUAGUCACACAUAAAGUACUAUUCAUGUUUUAUGCAAUAAAAAUACUAAUCAUAAAAAAAAUUUCAAAUAAGACGAACAGUCAAACGUUGAACGUAAAUAGUGUAAAACUGCACUUAUU